rnacentral:rRNA from 1 species
AUUCCAGCUCCAAUAGCGUAUAUUAAAGUUGUUGCAGUUAGAACGCUCGUAGUCGGAUUUCGGGGCAGUCCGACCGGUCUGCCGAUGGGUAUGCACUGGCCGGAGUGUCCUUUUUGCCGGAGACCGUGCCUACUCUUAACUGAGCGGGGGCGGGAGACGGCACUUUUACUUUGAAAAAAUCAGAGUGUUUCAAGCAGGCAGCUCGCUCUUGCAUGGAUUAGCAUGGGAUAAUGAAAUAGGACUUUGGUGCUAUUUUGUUGGUUUCGAACACCGAAGUAAUGAUGAGAAGGGACAGUCAGGGGCACUCGUAUUCCGCAGAGAGAGGUGAAAUUCUCAGACCCGCGGAAGACGAACCACUGCGAAAGCAUUUGCCAGGGAUGUUUUCAUUG